rnacentral:pre_miRNA from 1 species
UCUUCAUUCCUCGUACUCUCUCACCGGUCAGAGUGACGAGAGAGAGAGUGUGAGAAAUGAAGAGA